rnacentral:rRNA from 1 species
GACGAACGCUGGCGGCGUGCUUAACACAUGCAAGUCGAACGGAAAGGCCCUGCUUGCAGGGUACUCGAGUGGCGAACGGGUGAGUAACACGUGGGUGAUCUGCCCUGCACUUCGGGAUAAGCCUGGGAAACUGGGUCUAAUACCGGAUAGGAGCCAUUUUUAGUGUGAUGGUUGGAAAGUUUUUUCGGUGUAGGAUGAGCUCGCGGCCUAUCAGCUUGUUGGUGGGGUAAUGGCCUACCAAGGCGGCGACGGGUAGCCGGCCUGAGAGGGUGGACGGCCACAUUAGGACUGAGAGACGGCCCAGACUCCGACGGGAGGCAGCAGUGGGGAAGAUUGCACAAGGGGCGCAAGCCUGAUGCAGCGACGCCGCGUGGGGGAUGACGGCCUUCGGGUUGUAAACUCCUUUCGCUAGGGACGAAGCUUUUUGUGACGGUACCUAGAUAAGAAGCACCGGCUAACUACGUG